rnacentral:lncRNA from 1 species
AAUAUAUACUUAAAUGAUAUAACAUAGUUGGUAAUUGCAAUAUCUCUCUGACUUCCUUCCAAGGAACACUCGGCAUCGUUUCUGGAGCAUUUUCAGGGGUGGCUGCUAAUGAAAACAGUGAGAUCUCUGCUCUUAAGGUUGUCUUCAUGAAAAUGUCCACUGGAUGACUACGAUAAAGAAAUGAAGAAUGAACAGACAGAAAAGAUCACAGGAUUAGAGCACUGGAUAAUUUCUUUCUGGAGGUUGGAAAAAGGAAUUGAGAGGUCUCAGAGGUCCAAGCAAGAUUCUGGAGCUGCUCACUUGUUCCCAGUAACCUCCUGCCCCACAAAUCCAUAGACAUGGAAGGGAAAACUUGGUGUCAAAUCCUUACAUACCCUGAGUCUAUUUCAGCCAAAGUAUCCAAGGUAAGAAAUUUAAGAGAGCCAAAGGCUUUGUUUCUAAGUAGAUCUAAGUAGAUUUCUGAACCCAGAUGAAGUGAUUUGAGUGACACACCCAAAGAGUCCAGCACAGGCAAAUGACCCAAUAGAAGGAUCCACAGAUGUCAAGGCAGAAGGUGAAUUUUUGAUAAUUAAUUCUUUCUCCUGGGUUAUGUGCUGCUAAUUGACUUGGCAGCAGCACCAUCACUGUGAUUCACUGGCUCUUGGAUUUUAGGCCAGAAGCAGCAACGAUGAUGGUCAGGUCUUCCUGCCUGCAAAGCAAAGCCCACAGAACCUCACCUGGUACUUUCUCCACCAGCCCCCCAAAUUCUGCUUAAAUUAUCAUUUUUAUUGAAAACCAAGCUUAUUAAACAGCUAUGCAAUAGAAAAUGCAUCAGGUGCUUGGGUAAGUAGAUCUAAAGGUAAUUGUUUUCUUUUAAAUUUGCAGCUUAUUUUUGGUAUAAUAUCUAUAUUGAUAUUUCCAUAUGAUUCUAUUUUUUUUUUUUUUUUUUUGUCUAAAUGAACCCCAGGAAAAUUAGGAAAACAGAAAAAAAUUUGUCUUUGUUUUUUAAUUUUUAAAUUAAUCAGAGGUAUCCUAAGUGCAUGAAAUGGAACAGUUUAGCUCUCAAGUAGUUAUGAUACAGGUAUCCAGGUGAGCCAGCAGUCACAAAGAUGUUAUUUCUUUGUUAUGUCAUGAUCAUAUCACGUACCUGUCUCAUCUGUAAGUAGAAUAUUAACCACCAUGAACCUUCAGGAGCUGAGAGAAAACAUGGUGGGUUCCCAAAGGUGCAAGUGGACUUGUUUGUGUUUAUAAAUAAGCCACCGAGCUGAUGUGAUUAAACAGUUACUCCAUCAGUGUCUUGGCCCUUCUUUUCUCCAUCUGGUAGGCAGGCAGGCAGAUUAAAUAUAUGCCAUGUGUU